rnacentral:misc_RNA from 1 species
GAUGAAGAACGUAGCGAAAUGCGAUAAGUAAUGUGAAUUGCAGAAUUCAGUGAAUCAUCGAAUCUUUGAACGCACAUUGCGCCCAUUGGUAUUCCGAGGGGCAUGCCUGUUCGAGCGUCAUUAUAACCCCUCAAGCUCAGCUUGGUGUUGGGGCCUGCUGCACUGGCAGCCCUUAAAAUCAGUGGCGGCGCCAUCUGGCUCUAAGCGUAGUAAUUCUUCUCGCUAUGGAGUCCUGGUGGAUGCUUGCCAUCAACCCCCAAUUUUUCUAUGGUUGACCUCGGAUCAGGUAGGGAUACCCGCUGAACUUAAGCAUAUCAAUAAGCGGAGGA